rnacentral:rRNA from 1 species
AUGUUGAUGCAAGACUACUUCACGGACAAUCCAACAUAUCCAUCGCACCUCUUCCGGAGAAGGUACCGAAUGCGCCGAUCCCUCUUUGUGAAAAUAGUGGAAGCUUGCGAGGCCAAUUGUCGGUAUUUUACUCAAAGAAGAAAUGCCGCGGGCUUGAAGGGAUUUAGCGCAAAUCAAAAAAUCUUGGCAGCUAUGCGGGUAAUUGCAUAUGGCAUUCCGGCUGACUAUGUCGAUGAGUACCUUCGCGUUGUUGAUGAUACUACAAUUGAGUCAGCGCGUAGGUUUGCCAAGUGA